GUGAUUAUAUGAAUACUCACACUAGGUGGGAUGAAGAGCAAUAUUAGUAUUGUAGUUUAUCAACAGUUACGAAAAAUGAAAUAGUGUGAUACAGACCACAAACACUUGGUGCUCUUUAUUUCUCAGGAAAACAUUCAAUAAAACCAAUAUGCAUGCAAUAAAUGUUUGUUUCAUCUGGUUUCUUGAGGAUUUUGGAUAAAAGACUUCAUCAGCAUUGCUAUUAUUUUCACUAAAGAUUAGAGUUAAAUAAAAUUUAAUGAUGGGCUAAGAAUGGGAUUCUUUAAUGAUAAAGCAACACUAUAAUAGGUGGCCUUUUAAAAGGUAUAGUUCUAGGGUAAUGAGUCUCAUUAAUAUGGAUUUCUAUAUAAGCAGUCUCUUCAGAAGUAGCCACAUCUUUUCACUGAUAAGUUCAUAUUGUUCAAGGCCAAUUAACUGCUCAAACAUUUCCCUCAUAUUGUAUAUGGAGAUUUUUCCCCCCAAUCUGUGUUGUAUCUCAUUGUCAUCACUACUAGCCUCAUGCAUAUUUGGGUUAACACCAUAUUAGCAACUUUUCUAUCUUGCAAGGAAUGUACAGAAGAAUACAACUUAUGAUAUUCAGUAUUUUUUGGAUACUGGCUUUCUCUACCUCAGUGCUUCUACAAUUGUAGAAAGCAUAAACACCAUCUGGAGGAUUUGCUAAAAUGCAGAUUCUUGGGAUGCAUGCGCAGAGAUUCUGAGUCAGCAGGUCUGGAGUUGGGUCUGUGAAUCUGCAUUUCUAACAAGCUUCCAGGUUAUGGUGAUAUUACUUGUCCACUGACCACACUUUGAGUAGCAACAUUAUGACUUAGACUUUUAGCCAAUAAACUUUUAUUGCAAGUAAUGAAACUAUUAUCUCAUUAGUGACACAAAAUCCUUCAAAGUUUUUAUCUACAGGUUUGCUUCAAACAUUACUGCAAGUCAAAAGUCUAUGCUAAAUAUUUACCAAUCAUGCCAAGCAUCAGCAACUAUGUAGAUGGCUCCUGAUUGAAUUUCUGCAUUAACUCUCUUAGGAAAACUUGAGAGUUAACUGCUGCAAGUGUAGAGUAUGAAAUAAAAAAUAUUUAUAUUUGCUAUUCAUAGGGAGUAAAACUGCUUGGUUAAGUUCAGGAGAAGUGUAUGUGCCAUAGUGGCCUAGGAAUAAUUAUACAGUUUUCUUCCAUCCCAGUGAGUGUAAAAUGUACUCAUGUCAUUGGCAUAGAUAAUUGAGCCAGUUAGGAAAUAUUUCUUUGACUACCCAUACUUUUUGUUUACAUACAAAAAAGUAUGUUACAUACUGUGAACAACUUUUGAGACAUCUUGGAUGUUGGCUUUUUCUAACUUUACCGAUCUGCUGCAUUGGUAUGUCCUGUAACUUUGAACCUGUGCUUAGAGUCCUUAUAACCUCUGUUUGCUUAUCAAGCAUUGUUAAUUAUUAAAAAAAAAAAAAAGAAUACAGGCCCAAACAGAGCUGUUUCAUGAUCUCUGCCUAUAUGUUUGGGACUAAGGUGUUCAUUAAAAAUCAUCUUAACAAAUUUGUCAUAGAAGUUUUGUCUACUUCAUGCUAAGCAGAAGCUUCUUCCUCACAGAUGUUCAGAUAUUUUAUACCAUGAUGCUUCUUAAAUUUCUGCAGCUAAUCUUCAGAUAUUUUAUAUGUACCUUAAAUGUUCAGUCCUUCAAGGCAUAUUCUAGCUUGUUUCACGACCAUCAAACCAGUCAGUGACAUAUUCACAGUGCUUCAUUGUUGAUCCAUUCAAUCAUGGUCAUGUCAACAUCUUCCUUUUUUUGCCUUCUGAAAAAUAUUCUAUUCUUCGUUAGUCCUGGUCAUUGUUGUUCCUGUAAAACUUAAACACUUAAUUUUCUUCAGGUCAUAUGUGGUAUUAAUUUCACACACUAUGCUUCAGGUAAGAUGCCUUAUAGACACAACUUAUCAAAUUUCUGUCCUGACUUUAUUUUCUGUGCCACUGAUAAUGACACAUGCUUCCUUUUCUUCUUAUUCUUACUUACAGGAGUAUCUUCAAUUUUCUGAUGUUUUUACAGGAAUAUUAAACUCAAGCUGACAAAAUAACAGUAACAUAAACAAAGAAGGCAACACAAUAUUGGUGAACAGCAGAGAUGUAUAUGACUGUGAAACCUACAUAGCUAACAAGAAGUAUGUGAGCUUGGAAGCCUGAGAGGCACUGUGAGCUGUCUAUAUUUUGACCAGGGGCAAUGGAAAAAUCACAAAUUCUCACAUUUGUAAAGUGAUUUGCAGCUCCAUUUCAGUUAUCACUUCACUGGAUCUUCCAAUGGCCCUGGGAAGCUGAGAGUUCAUUAACAAUGAUCCCUAUCAUAUAGAUUUUGAACCUGAGACUUGGAAAGGUGAUGUGACUUUAACAUUUAAAAGGUUAGAUUUUUACCUUAAGGAUGAUUUUAUUCUGCGUACUCAGGGUCCUAUGAAUAGUAAUUAUAAUAAAACUCUGGCUUGGA